GAUGAAGAACGUAGCGAAAUGCGAUACUUGGUGUGAAUUGCAGAAUCCCGUGAACCAUCGAGUCUUUGAACGCAAGUUGCGCCCGAAGCCAUUAGGCCGAGGGCACGCCUGCCUGGGCGUCACACGUCGUUGCCCCCCCAUCUACUCCUUCGGGAUUGCGGGGGGCGGAUGAUGGCCUCCCGUGCGCCUCGUCGCGCGGUUGGCAUAAAUGCCAAGUCCUCGGCGACGCACGCCACGACAAUCGGUGGUUGCGAAACCUCGGUUGCCCGUCGUGUGCGGUCGUCGCGCAUCGAGGGCUCGAAAAAAUUGCCGGGCUCCGGCUCGGCUUUCAACGCGACCCCAGGUUAGGCGGGGUUACCCGCUGAAUUUAAGCAUAUCAAUAAGCGGAGGA
rnacentral:misc_RNA from 1 species